rnacentral:rRNA from 1 species
GACGAACGCUGGCGGCGUGCUUAACACAUGCAAGUCGAACGGAAAGGCCCUGCUUUUGUGGGGUGCUCGAGUGGCGAACGGGUGAGUAACACGUGAGUAACCUGCCCUUGACUUUGGGAUAACUUCAGGAAACUGGGGCUAAUACCGGAUAGGAGCUCCUGCUGCAUGUUGGGGGUUGGAAAGUUUCGGCGGUUGGGGAUGGACUCGCGGCUUAUCAGCUUGUUGGUGGGGUAGUGGCUUACCAAGGCUUCGACGGGUAGCCGGCCUGAGAGGGUGACAGGCCACAUUGGGACUGAGAUACGGCCCAGACUCCUACGGGAGGCAUCAGUGGGGGAUAGUGCACGAUGGGCGGAAGCCUGAUGCAGCAACGCCGCGUGCGGGAUGACGGCCUUCGGGUUGUAAACCGCUUUCGCCUGUGACGAAGCGUGAGUGACGGUAAUGGGUAAAGAAGCACCGGCUAACUACGUG